GUUGGGAGUCUUGUCUAUCUCGCUGUCACUCGUCCGGAUAUCUCCUAUCCUGUUCAUAUCCUGAGUCAGUUUGUUUCUUCUCCCACUUCGGUUCACUAUAGUCACCUUCUUCGUGUUCUACGAUAUCUUCGUGGCACGAUCUCUCACCGUCUCUUCUUUCCUCGUUCUAGCUCAUUACAGCUCCAGGCUUAUUCAGAUGCUACCUGGGCUAGCGAUCCUUCGAAUCGCUGUUCACUUUCUGCUUACUGUGUCUUUCUUGGUGGUUCUCUCAUUGCCUGGAAGACAAAGAAACAGACUGCAGUUUCUCGUUCGAGUGCAGAGGCUGAGUUGCGAGCUAUGGCUCUUCUCACGGCAGAGGUGACUUGGUUGCGCUGGUUUCUCGAGGAUUUUGGUGUUUCUGUUACUACACCUACUACACUCUUAUCAGACAAUACAGGUGCUAUCAGUAUUGCA
rnacentral:rRNA from 1 species